CCGACCUUAGCUCAGUUGGUAGAGCGGAAGACUGUAGUUGGUCAAAAGCCUUGACAGAUUAUCUUUAGGUCGCUGGUUCGAAUCCGGCAGGUCGGG